GAGAACAGGUUAGGUGCUUCCCACUCCACACUCCCCUCUGCCUUCUCUGUCACUGGCCCUGUGGUUUGCUUUGUGGCUGUAGACCGAGUUCCAUGGAGAAGCCAGGAACAAAUGUAGAGGCUCAUGCAGGCUGGCUGAUGAGGCAGGGGAGGAAAGGAGCAGACUGUUUAGAGAGAGAAAAUUGUUAGAGGUAUCUCUGUUCUCUGAAGAGGAUUAACAGGAUGGGAAUAAAGGCAAAAUACAGGUGACAGUAGGGUGACCAGGACCUGGCCAUGGAAAAGGGCUCUUGUGACUUACUGAGGCUGAAUGCUGGUUUGCCAUCGUCUUGCAUUUCCUUUGUCCACGAGGUCAGACUGCUGGGAAUCCACAGUCCUGGCCAUCCUGAACUGUUCCAGAACUGCCCCGGGAGCAGGGAAACCAUCUCCAAGAUGAGACUUGUGAACCAUAAGGUUAUCAGCUCUCCAAAUCAGAUGUGAAUGCUCAGAGCCAGGAGAGGAGAAGCGGAGGGAAGGAGGAGGCUGCCCCAAUCCCGAGUGCAGUUAAAGGCCUAAAGAGUGGAAUUGAGGUUCCUCUGAGGAAGAAGAAAUUCUUCCCCAAGACUGCAGCAUCAUCAGCUCCUGCCUGAGCACUUGCAGCCUGCUGACCUGCCCUGAAGAUUUCAGAAUUUGCCAACCCCACAAUUCCAUGAGCAGAUACCUUAAAGCUGGAAUGCAGUGGCAUUUUCUUGGCUCACUGCAGCCUCCAUCUCCCCAGUUCAAGUAACCCUCCUGCCUCAGCCUCCUGAGUAGCUGAGAUUAUAGCCAUGGACUCCUGGAGAGACGCCUUGGAGGGAACUUGGAAAGAGAUACCAGCAAGAAACAACUCGGAGUGAGGUUUCAACACCAAGGAUGACCCUGGAAGGCCACUUGUUGAAACUGGCAGAGCCAUCAGGAGCCUGGGUUAUCUUGAAUGAACGAGUGGAGCAGAGCCCCUCCUUCCCUCGCCCAUCCUCUUCUGCCCUGAACCUGCAUUGCAUCAUCAGAAUGUCCAGCUUCGUGGAGCCACCUGACACCAUGAAGAAACUGUUCUGGGUGGAAUGGCCAGAUGCAUUGCUGGCCAAGCCCAAGGUGACCAAGUCC
rnacentral:lncRNA from 1 species